CUGAGUACUACACUCUCUACCCUUUGUGAACUAUUAUACCUGUUGCUUCGGCGGCGCCGCAAGGGUGCCCGCCGUCUCAUCAGAAUCUCUGUUUUCGAACCCGACGAUACUUCUGAGUGUUCUUAGCGAACUGUCA
rnacentral:misc_RNA from 1 species